GCCACGAAUGCGAGAAGUGGCGCUGACCAUUAAUCCUAAAAUCUCGAGUUGUAUAACCAUUAAUUCUAAAACCUCAAAUUGUUAAAAAUAUAUAAUUAAUUAACUUAAAGUAUGACUCGGCCCACCCAGUCUCACGCCACAUGACUCUCCCCAAUAUGGUCUUCCGCCACAUGGGAGAAUGCUGGCUCAUUUAAGCCAACAAUUCUUCCUCCAGCAUCUGGACACAUUUGCAACAUACGGGAAUCGAACCCGUGAUCACUGGCUCUGAUACUAUUUGUCGAAUCAUUGGCGCUAACCAUUAAUCUCAAAAACUCAAGCUGUUAAAAAUACGCAAAUAAUUCACUUAAAACGUACAGAUACAGCGCUCACGGGGCUCAAUUAUGACUAGGCCCACCCAGCCUCACGUCACUUCGAACAUGACUCGGUCUAUCCAGUCUCACGCCACCUCGAGUAUGACUCGGCCCAACAUGACCUCCGGCCACAGGACAGGAUGCUGGCCCAUUUAAACCAACAUUAAAUGCAUGCACAGGGUGUAUAAGUGCAUCUUAUACACUGAGGGCGUGUUUGGUUUGCUUCUUUUUCACUCUGGAAUCGGAACCUAAAUGGGCGAAUCCGUUUGUGGGUAUUUGGUAUGCUGGAGUCCCAUUCCAAUUCCGAUUGCCGAGUGGAAUAGGAAUCCCCUAAUCACCUCUUUUUCUAAUCCAGCCUUCUAGACCGGAUCGGAAGUUGAAUCCGGACGGAAUAAAUAUUCAUUUGGAUUAAAUUUAUUUUUUAAAAUUUUUUAAUUAAAAUAUGAGUUUAAAUUUAGAAAUUAAAUAUAUAAUUUUAAAUUUUAAUUUGAACUUGAAUAAAAAAAUUAAAAUUUAAUUAAGUGUUUCAAAUCUAACUUAUGAAUUUGAAUUUAAAUUAAAUUUUAAUUUAUAUAAAGUUUUAUUCAAAUUUUAUUUAAAACAUAAAUUAAAUUUAUGGAUUCAAAUUAAAAUUUAAAUUGUAAUUCUAAAUUUGAAUUUGAAUAAAUUAAAAUUUAGUUUUAUAUUUUGAAAUAUCCACUCAACUUCAAAGUUUAUUUAAAAAAAAAAAUAGAUUUAAAAUUUUGAUAUUAUUUCAAAAUUUUGAUGUAAAUAUUUAAUAUUUAAUUUUUAAUUUGAAUUUAUUAAUAUAUUGUAAAGAUAAAGUUACUAUAUUAAUUUGAUUAUGUUUUUUAUAUUUACCUGAACCAAACACCGACAAUGGGAAUGAUUUAUUCCGAUUCCGAUUCCGAUUCAGGUAAUGAACCAAACAGAAUUAGGUAAUGAGUCAUUCCGAUUUCGAUUCUAGCUUAUUUCGAUUCUGAUUCUGAUUCUGAUUCCGACUUCGAACCAAACACGCCCUAAGAGGUCUUAAUAUCAAUUUUUAAUUUAUUAAGGGCAUGUUUGGUUCGUACAUUUUGGAUCCGAAAUGGGAAUCGGUUUGAUCAAAUCCUACUAAUUUUGUUUGGUUCACAUGCAUCGGUUUGAGACUCCCAUCCGGAAUGGGAAUGGUCCAUUAGCUUACAAAUUGAUUCUGGUCUCAAAGCCCGGAUUGAAGUUUCAAUCCUGGCUUGGAGACCACUCACCUCUUCCUCAAGCCCAGCCCAACAUUUCUCCAUCUUAUCCAUCAUUUCUCUCCCUAUACCGAUCUCUUCUCUCUUAUCUCAUCAUUAAAAAAAAAUGGCUUUUUUUUUUGUAAUUUCCUGCAUAAAAAUUUUUAAAAUAAAUUCAAAUUUUUUUGACAUAGCUCUAACUUGAGAGUAGUAUUAAUUUUUUUUAAUAAAUUUUAGAUAGUUUUAUAAAAUUAUAUUUAAAAGUGAAAUUAGUAUUAUAUUAUUCUAUUAUUUUUUUACUUUAUAUCAACCAAACAGUGAAAUAGGAAUAAUUUAUUCCGAUUUCCAAUCCAGAAAUAAACCAAACGUGUUGGGGGAGUGGGGCAAUCCAAUUGCCAUUUCAAUUCAUUCUCAUUCUAUUAUUCAUUUCAAUUCCACUCUUAAACCAAACAAGCUCUAAACGUGUUUUAUAGUACUUUAAAAUGCCUAGGUAUAAAAGAAGUAUAUAAACUUUGAA
rnacentral:lncRNA from 1 species